GGCUUAGAGUUUGAUCAUGGCUCAGGAUGAACGCUGGCGGCGUGCCUAACACAUGCAAGUCGAGCGAAGCGCUUAACUUAGAUUCUUCGGAUGAAGAGUUUUGUGACUGAGCGGCGGACGGGUGAGUAACACGCAGGUAACCUGCCUCACACAGGGGGAUAACAGUUAGAAAUGACUGCUAAUACCGCAUAAGCGCACAGGGCUGCAUGGUCCGGUGUGAAAAGCUCCGGCGGUGUGAGAUGGACCUGCGUCUGAUUAGCCAGUUGGCGGGGUAACGGCCCACCAAAGCGACGAUCAGUAGCCGGCCUGAGAGGGUGGACGGCCACAUUGGGACUGAGACACGGCCCAGACUCCUACGGGAGGCAGCAGUGGGGAAUAUUGCACAAUGGGGGAAACCCUGAUGCAGCGACGCCGCGUGAGCGAAGAAGUAUCUCGGUAUGUAAAGCUCUAUCAGCAGGGAAGAAGAUGACGGUACCUGACUAAGAAGCACCGGCUAAAUACGUGCCAGCAGCCGCGGUAAUACGUAUGGUGCAAGCGUUAUCCGGAUUUACUGGGUGUAAAGGGAGCGUAGACGGAGAAGCAAGUCUGGAGUGAAAGCCCGGGGCUCAACCCCGGGACCGCUUUGGAAACUGUUAUUCUUGAGUGCCGGAGAGGUAAGCG
rnacentral:rRNA from 1 species